GACGAACGCUGGCGGCGUGCUUAACACAUGCAAGUCGAACGGAAAGGCCUCAGCUUGCUGGGGUACUCGAUUGGCGAGCGGGUGAGUGACACGUGGGUGAUAUGCCUUGCACUCUCGGAUAAGCCUUGGAAACUGGGUCGAAUACCGGAUAUGAUCUGUCUUUAGUGUGGGUGUUGGAAAGAUUCUUCGUUUCGAGAUGAGCUCGCGGCCUAUCGGCUUGGCGGUGGGGUAAUGGUCUACCAAGGCGUCGACGGGUAGCCGGACAGAGAGGGUGUGAGGCGACACUGGGACUGAGAUGCGGCAGAGACACGUACGGGAGGCAGAUGUGGGGAAGCUUGAACAAUGGGCGGAAGGCGGAUGAAGAGAGGCUGCGUGGGGGAUGACGGUCUUCGGGUGGAAAACUAAUUGCGAAAGGGACGAAGCUUUUUGUGACGGUACCUGUACAAGAAGCACCGGCUAACUACGUG
rnacentral:rRNA from 1 species